AGCGCAGACGGUUAUUUAAGUCUGAAGUGAAAGCCCUCAGCUCAACUGAGGAAUUGCUUUGGAAACUGGAUGACUUGAGUGCAGUAGAGGAAAGUGGAACUCCAUGUGUAGCGGUGAAAUGCGUAGAUAUAUGGAAGAACACCAGUGGCGAAGGCGGCUUUCUGGACUGUAACUGACGUUGAGGCUCGAAAGUGUGGUAGCAAACA
rnacentral:rRNA from 1 species